rnacentral:rRNA from 1 species
AGUGAACGCUGGCGGUAGGCCUAACACAUGCAAGUCGAACGGCAGCACAGUAAGAGCUUGCUCUUACGGGUGGCGAGUGGCGGACGGGUGAAGAAUACAUCGGAAUCUACUUUUUCGUGGGGGAUAACGUAGGGAAACUUACGCUACUACCGCAUACGACCUACGGGUGAAAGCAGUGUAUCUUCGGACCUUGCGCGAUUGAAUGAGCCGAUGUCGGAUUAGCUAGUUGGCGGGGUAAAGGCCCACCAAGGCGACGAUCCGUAGCUGGUCUGAGAGGAUGAUCAGCCACACUGGAAGUGAGACACGGUCCAGACUCCUACGGGAGGCAGCAGUGGGGAAUAUUGGACAAUGGGCGCAAGCCUGAUACAGCCAUCCCGCGUGGGUGAAGAAGGCCUUCGGGUUGUAAAGCCGUUUUGUUGGGAAAGAAAAGCAGCAGGUUAAUACCCCGCUGUUCUGACGGUACCCAAAGAAUAAGCACCGGCUAACUUCGUG